AUGUGCAAUGAAUAUGGCGCCUCUGCCACCGCAGCAGAGUUUGGUGGAGAAUCGCCAGCGGGUCUCCAGCGACACCACGCAUUUUGCGGUCUGAUUUCACUGAGGAAGAGGACUCAACUUCAAUGAGAUUUCUAUCUAAUAUUUGAGAACAUGUACAAAGUAUGUUCCAAUCAACAGCCACAAAUUAUAGAAUUGAUAAUAAAACAGACAAAACAUUCUUUCUUUCAAGAAUCCUCUUUCGAGACUUCUCACGACCUAUUACGUGCUUCGCCGCUGAGGAGAUGGUGAUGGCGUGGUCCUCGAGACCAUCUGGAAAGAUCCAGGACUAGAUGGAACAGCCUUUUAAAUGAACUCUUCGUAAAUCUGAUAGAAUGUAAGCAUAUAACUAUGCUUCUUGGUCAACUUUUACAGUUAAUAACGAAUUUGGUAGUUGUGGGCUCAUAACACAAAGGGGGUUGGAGAUAGAGACACCAUCCAAUAUCGACAGCCACGAAUUGGGAUCGAAUCCCGCAUUGGGCCCUUUUUUUCUGAAAAAAAAAAAUGCUUCAAUGGCCACCGAUUCUUGUAAAAGCCCAGCCCCAUCAGUGAGAACAAGUAAACAAACGGGACUCAGGCACGCUUGUAAGUGCAAAAAUAGAACUACUUUUCACAUAUGUACGUGAUGCACUUGUAAUAAAAGUAUUCGCUAACUAUCCACCAGGAUUAUCAUGGCCUGUAUGUAACUAUGCAAUUUUUUUUUUGUUUGAAAAGAAAAAUUAGGGUAAAUAGUGAGAAAGAUUCGUUACGGCUUUCUUUAGAACUGAGACGAAGCACAGGUCUAGAAGAUCUCGCUGCUUGAACUGUCUAUUUCCUAUUUAUUGGACGCGAAACUUUCCACCUCGUAGAACGUGAUAGACAAUCGUUCCCAAAGUUGACCGAAAUUGAAAAUUUCGAUAAUAAUUUCUCUAAUUCCGCUAGUACCUUCUCUUCAUAGCUUUUUCAAAUACCGAAUUUUAUUUUAGUUAAAUUGAUAUAUCACUAACAAUAUAUUCAUAUGAACUUAUAUGUACUUUCAUGCACUCUUAUCAGCAGCUUUAUUUGUUGGCCUCUUUUAUCAGACCCCUGUUGACGCUGUGAAAGUUUUCUGUAAUCAAUUGUGAAUGAUGGGUGGAUGAGUUGUUCAGAAAUUAUAGUCUGAAAAAGAUGCGCAGCAUGCGUUAUUAGUAUAGAGCCAAUUUUUAAUAGUGUAUUUAUUUUGAUUUGCUUUAUACAGUUUUGAUAAUGGGAUUUAAUACCUUUAUAAUAGGUAUACGAGGAUACGGGGUGUUCAAAAAGUAUCGCGACUUUUGAAUUUUCGCGGGUUACGCAUAUUCGAAUUUCGAUCUUUUUGUGGCUUUAUGUUGGUACUCAUCUCUCUCACUUAUGCCGACAAGCUCGGCCAUUUUGAAUGUUCACUUAAUUGUUGACAGCUGCUUUGCUUGCAGGUGUUUUGGAUCGUCUUCGAUUUUUACCUAUUAAAAAAAAAAUGGAUCAAAGAACCUGUAUCAAAUUUUGUGUGAAAAACGAAAUUAAGUGCGCGGAUGCAUUCCGAAUGUUGACUGUGGCAUACGGAGAAGCUACCUUGGACCGAAGCAACGUUUAUCGGUGGUACAAAAUGUUCUCAGAAGGCCGAGAAGAUGUGAACGACGAAGAGCGUGCCGGACGCCCGAGCACUUCAACAACAGACGAAAAAAUUAAUGAAAUGGAGAAAAUGAUAUUGGCCAAUCGUCGAAUCACCGUUAGAGAAGUUGCUGAUGACCUAAACAUAUCGAUUGGCUCGUGCCAUUCGAUUUUUAUCAAUGAUUUGGGCAUGAGAUGGGUCGCCGCGAAAUUCGUACAAAAAUUGCUCAAUUGCGACCAAAAACAGCAUCGCAUGAACAUUGCUAAUGAGAUGUUGGACUCUGUCCGCGACGACCCAAAUUUGCUCCAGAGGGUCAUAACUGGUGACGAAGCGUGGGUUUAUGGUUAUGACGAGGAAACUCAAUCAUCUCAAUGGAAGCUGCCGCACGAACCAAGACCGAAAAAAGCGCGCCAAGUUCGGUCGAAUGUGAAAAUUUUGCUGACAGUUUUCUUCGAUUGCAGGGGCGUGGUGCAUCAUGAGUUCUUGCCACAGGGUAGAACGGUCAAUAAGGAAUAUUACCUGCAAGUUAUGCGCAAUUUGCGCGAAGCAAUCCGCCAGAAACGCCCGGAUUUGUGAAAGAACAAAAAUUGGCUUUUGCACCACGAUAACGCCCCUGCUCACACAUCGUUGCUUGUGCGCGACUUUUUGGCCAAAACCAACACACUAAUGAUGCCGCAGCCACCGUAUUACCCAGAUCUGGCCCCCUGUGACUUUUUCUUAUUCCCUAAACUGAAGAGGCCCAUGAAAGAACGACGUUACGCUACGCUUGACGAGAUAAAGACGGCAUCGAAGGAGGAGCUGAAAAAGAUUUUUUUAAAAUGAUGUUUUUGAAGUGCUUCGAAGAUUGGAAAAACCGUUGGCACAAGUGUAUAAUAUCUCAUGGGGAUUACUUUGAAGGGGACAAAAUAGGUAUUCAUGAAUAAAUAAAUAAUUUUUGAAAAAACACAAAAGUCGCGAUACUUUUUGAACACACCUUCGUACGUUGCCCAAAAACUCUAACCCGUACUAUUCCUUGUUGUGGAAGCAGAAAUUCUCAGUGGAGCGACGUUUCUUGCUUUCUCUACUGGAUAACUUUCGUUUGUUCUUAAUCACUAAGAGAAUCAGAGAUCCACGUGUCUCCAAAUAUAACAUAAGCAUGAUAAUCCAAGUAUUAUGACCACUGACUAUUCCUCUAGAAGCAUCUGUAGUUCCAGUUGUCAGGUUUCCGUUUGAUCAUCUUCCUUCACUAAUGUGAAUAGACUUAUGCAAAAAGGAAACAAUUUUUUCACAAGAUUUUGUUAGAUUGUGGGGUCAUAAACAUGGAUUGUGGUUGUCACAUUGGAUGAUUCAGGCCAGCAACAAAUUGCACAUUUUUAUCUAGCUCUCCACUAAUCCUUGGUCUAUCUAUCCUUGGAACUGAGAUUCAAGUGACGUAGUACAGAUUCGAGGAUUCCUCCUGACUUAUAAUACAACAAAUAUAUGUAGUAAUAUAUAGUCAAUAUACAUUGUCAUCUAUAUUCUUCUCAUUGUUAUAAUGUUUUCUUAAUGUUUUCAUUUGUCACAUAUAGAUUGCGCGUUAUUGCUUUGUAAUUCAAUUUUUUGCAAGUGUUUACGAAAUUUUGGGAAAACCUUGUAUUUACUCGUAUUUUUAAAAUUAUAGCAUUUUUAUCAUUGCAGGUAGUAAGGGCAGCAGGUGACUAUUUAUUUAAAAAAACGCGAAUAAAUUGUUAAUAAUUUAUAAUACAGAUGACGCGCGCAUAUCAUGUAAUUAAUAUUUGAAUACGAAAACCUUGAAUCCUUUUAUUUGACAGAAGUCACUCAGGAUAUGUGUGGAAAGGUUUCUUAUAUUUGAUUUCUCUAUAUUAUAAGUAACACCCAUAUCCUCCUGGAUGAUAUUUUGCCGAUAUAAAAUAAAAUAAGAGAUUAAAAUUUUCGAUUUUGAUAAUCCAAGUUUUUUUAAUCAAUAUAUCGCGAUCGAAAUUAAACGUUUUUUUUUAAUUUCAUCCAAAAGAAAUCCUUGCAGAUCACUAUU